rnacentral:rRNA from 1 species
GACGUAGGGGGCAAGCGUUGUUCGGAAUUACUGGGCGUAAAGCGCACGCAGGCGGUCUGUCAAGUCGGAUGUGAAAUCCCCGGGCUCAACCUGGGAACUGCAUUCGAAACUGGCAGGCUAGAGUCUUGUAGAGGGGGGUAGAAUUCCAGGUGUAGCGGUGAAAUGCGUAGAGAUCUGGAGGAAUACCGGUGGCGAAGGCGGCCCCCUGGACAAAGACUGACGCUCAGGUGCGAAAGCGUGGGGAGCAAACAGG